GACGAACGCUGGCGGCGUGCUUAACACAUGCAAGUCGAACGGAAAGGCCCUGCUUGCAGGGUACUCGAGUGGCGAACGGGCGAGUAACACGGGGGUGAUUUGCCCUGCACUUCGGGAUAAGCCUGGGAAACUGGGUCUAAUACCGGAUAGGAGCCAUUAUCUGCGUGAUGGUUGGAAAGUUUUUUCGGUGUAGGAUGAGCUCGCGGCCUAUCAGCUUGUUGGUGGGGUAAUGGCCUACCAAGGCGGCGACGGGUAGCCGGCCUGAGAGGGUGGACGGCCACAUUGGGACUGAGAUACGGCCCAGACGCCUACGGGAGGCAGCAGUGGGGAAUAUUGCACAAUGGGCGCAAGCCUGAUGCAGCGACGCCGCGUGGGGGAUGACGGCCUUCGGGUUGUAAACUCCUUUCGCUAGGGACGAAGCUUUUUGUGACGGUACCUAGAUAAGAAGCACCGGCUAACUACGUG
rnacentral:rRNA from 1 species